rnacentral:rRNA from 1 species
CCUACGGGAGGCAGCAGUGGGGAAUAUUGCACAAUGGGGGAAACCCUGAUGCAGCGACGCCGCGCGAGCGAUGAAGUAUUUCGGUAUGUAAAGCUAUAUCAGCAGGGAAGAAAAUGACGGUACCUGACUAAGAAGCAACGGCUAACGACGUGCCAGCAGCCGCGGUAAUACGUAGGGGGCAAGCGUUAUCCGGAUUUACUGGGUGGAAAGGGAGCGUAGACGGUCCUGCAAGCCAGACGUGAAAGCCCGGGGCUCAACCCCGGGACUGCAUUUGGAAAUGUAAGGCUAGAGUGUCGGAGAGGCAGGCGGAAUUCCUAGUGUAGCGGUGAAAUCCGUAGAUAUCUGGAGGAACAUCAGUGGCGAAGGCGACUAUCUGGCACAUAACUGACGCUGAGGAGCGAAAGCGUGGGUAGCAAACAGGAUUAGAUACCCCAGUAGUC